AACACGCAUAUUCUCAUAGCGGUCGGACGGCAAAGUUUUUUGGAACCACGUGCUGCGAAAUUCGGAAAAGCGGCGGCCAUUUUGACCGGAAAGCGCGGGACUUUUGACAGAUCGCCAGUGGCACGUCAGUUUUGGCGCGAAGAUUUAUCUAUGGUCGUUUUAAUCAUCUAAAGAGUCGUGGUUUAUUCAAAUAUAAGUGUGAGAUUGUGAUUUUCUGGGAAAGUUGGUUGUGUUCAAAAUAAUUCAGUAUUUGAAGAAAAAUAAAGUGGAAAUCUCUGUGACCUUGCCAGUAUCAUAUCCGGGCUUUGCCCUGUGUACGAGUCAUCUAUUUAUACCAUAGACUAAACCUUCGGGGCAUGCCUCGUGCUAAGUGGUUUGAUUGACAAUCGAAAGUGAUAUGCUACAAUGUGAAGAGAAAGUGAAAAUAUCUGUGUGGAAAUUGUGCCGUCUAAAGAAACCGUGACUGUGUUCUGAAAUACUUUUUGGGGUUCAUUAUCAGUUUUCAAAUUAGUUUCGAUCCAUUUAUCUUCAAUUCAAAAGUUCCUCAAUCUUUCGAAUCCCAGUGCCGAAGUUCUAAAUCGACUUUCCUCAAAAAUAAAACUGUUAAUUGAAAUAACUAAAAAUAACUGGACGUUGUGUUGCAAAUUGUUGUCAUAAAUAAACGAAACAUUUAGAAAGAACUCUGCUUUGAUUAAAACUGUGCUGCAAAAACAUUUAAAACCUUAACUUAAAAGUAAACAUAAAUUGAAAUCAUAAAAAACACUUCAAGAUUAUUCAAGGUUUGGGUGCUAAUACGAACUUACCAUAAACGAAGACUUUACGGUGUUUAUAGACUUAGCCAGAAACCACAAGAGUAUCCCUCAAAUCACAGCAGAACUUACACCCAAACCACUCAAGCAGUCUACAAAAGAACAAAAAACUUAAAAGAUUGGAUCUGCCGCGCGGCUUCCGCCAGAUACCCAUCACCGCCGCAUGCUAACGUACUACGAGGCGCUGAUCAUCCUAGCAUGCGUGACGACGAGUAUCCUCGCCCUACGGCAUGAGGUGUGGGUGUCGUCGGUGCUUCGAGCCGCGUCCGCGGAGCGUCGCGCCAGGCCAUGCGCGCCCGUCGCAGCCCCGGAUCCCGCUCGUCGGGCAGAGGACGUAUGGCGUCAACACGUAUCAGGUUUAAUAUUGAUACAAUCAUUA